UGGGGAAUAUUGCGCAAUGGACGAAAGUCUGACGCAGCAACGCCGCGUGAGGGAUGACGGCCUUCGGGUUGUAAACCUCUUUCAGCAGGGACGAAGCGAGAGUGACGGUACCUGCAGAAGAAGGACCGGCCAACUACGUGCCAGCAGCCGCGGUAAUACGUAGGGUCCGAGCGUUGUCCGGAAUUAUUGGGCGUAAAGGGCUCGUAGGCGGUUCGUCACGUCGGGAGUGAAAACUCGGAGCUCAACUCCGAGCCUGCUUCCGAUACGGGCAGACUAGAGGUAGGCAGGGGAGAGCGGAACUCCUGGUGUAGCGGUGGAAUGCGCAGAUAUCAGGAAGAACACCGGUGGCGAAGGCGGCUCUCUGGGCCUUACCUGACGCUGAGGAGCGAAAGCGUGGGUAGCGAACAGG
rnacentral:rRNA from 2 species